rnacentral:ncRNA from 1 species
UACUUUCAAGGGGAACUAGAUUUGGGUGCCACCCAAGUACUGACUCACUCACAACGACCCAUGUAUUUCGUGCAUUACUGCCAGUCAACAUGAAUAUUAUCUA